rnacentral:rRNA from 1 species
UACGUAGGGUGCAGGCGUUAAUCGGAAUUACUGGGCGUAAAGCGUGCGCAGGCGGUUUGCUAAGACAGGUGUGAAAUCCCCGGGCUUAACCUGGGAACUGCGCUUGUUACUGGCAGGCUUGAGUGUGGCAGAGGGGGGUGGAAUUCCACGUGUAGCAGUGAAAUGCGUAGAGAUGUGGAGGAACACCGAUGGCGAAGGCAGCCCCCUGGGCUAACACUGACGCUCAUGCACGAAAGCGUGGGGAGCAAACCGG